rnacentral:tRNA from 2 species
GGCGGGAUAGCUCAGUUGGUUAGAGCGUCGGAUUCAUAACCCGGAGGUCCCGAGUUCAAUUCUCGGUCCCGCUACAA